GUGUUCUUUCUGCCCGCAAAUCCAAGCUCGACGGCUAGUCCCGCUAACACUCUCCGGCAACUUACGCCGGCUUCCACCUCCGGAAAGCUCCACUUCGCGGCGUUCCCGCUCCGCCUCCCCCGCCAUGCCUGCGCAAGGACCUAUCGCUCCGCCGCAUUCGGGAGGGGAUCGCCUGUGGCCGGGCGUAGAGAGAAGGACUACUACGCCACGCUGAACAUCCGCCGCGACUCCACGCUCCAGGAGAUCAAGUCUGCCUACCGGAUUCUUGCCCGCAAGUACCAUCCUGAUAUGAAUAAGAGUCCUGAAGCAGAAGAAAAGUUCAAGGAGAUCAGUGCUGCAUAUGAGGUUCUAUCUGAUCAAGACAAAAGAUCAUUAUAUGAUCGCUUUGGAGAAGAGGGGCUCAGCGGUGACUACAGAAAUGGAGAUAUUGGCACACAUGGGAUUGAUCCAUAUGAACUCUUCAAUGCUUUCUUUGGUAGUUCCGACAAACUUUUUGGGGAUAGUAUGGGGUCUGGGGGAUUUCAUUAUAGUGCAGAAGCAAAGGACAAUAGGGCACUUAACAUCAGCUAUAAUCUGCUCCUUUCUUUUGAAGAGUCCAUCCUCGGAGGCAAACGUGAAAUCAAUGUUUUUCGCCAUGAAACAUGUGGCACCUGCCAUGGAACUGGAGCUAAAUGUAGCAAUGACAUUACAGAAUGCACCCGAUGCAGAGGUCAAGGCAGGUUGAUGAAAACUCAAAGGACACCUUUUGGUAUAGUUUCUCAGAUAUCUUCAUGCUUAAAUUGUGAAGGCAGCGGGAAGGUAAUUACUGAACAUUGCACAGAAUGUUACGGUUCGGGCAGAGUCCAAAUUGAACGCAUUAUCAAAGUAGAUAUACCUGGAGGUAUUGAUGAUGGCUCCACCAUUCGAAUUAGUGGUGGAGGUAAUGUUGAUAAGCAAAGGGGUGCAAGUGGUGACCUGUAUAUAUUUGUUCGCGUUAAUAAAAAACAAGGCAUCCACAGAGAUGGUCUCAAUCUGUACUCAGAUGCUUCAGUUGAUUAUACUGAUGUGAUUUUAGGUACCACAGUGAAGGUUGAAACAAUAGAAGGACUCAAGGAUCUUCACAUUCCUCCUGGCACCCAGCCUGGAGAGAACUUAAAAUUUUCUCAGCUGGGAGUUCCCGACAUUAAGAAGCCUAAUGUCAGAGGAGAUCACUACUUCAUGAUAAAGUGGCCAGGAACGUUUGCUAGUUGAAGAGCUUGCUGCACUAAAGAAAGCUCAGAAUAUCUCAGUUCCAGAACCUACAAAGAUAGAAAAUUUUCGGGAGAGAAACCAUCAUCCAUCUGCAAAGAGAAGAUCAUUCUGGGGACGUGUCUGGAAUUUUUUCAGGGAUGAUAAAGGUGAUAAAAGAUUUGCUUCAAUCAGUGUGCAACCUAUUAUCCCAGGAUGGAAUUCUUGCCGAGGAACUGAUACGGCUGUCCCCUUGCUAUUAAAAGGAUUCCUCAUGACCGCAAUAUUCUUAUUUGUAAUCAGAAGUAAACUCAGGUACACUGGGAAGCGCAUUGACCGUCCAACUCAAGCUGAAAUACCUGUUGAGCCAGAGUGAAUUUCUGUCGUCUUCAUUUCUGAACGUUUGCGACAUCACAGUUUUGAUGAUGAUCAUAAAUACGUAACUUUGCCGCGCAAAGCUUCGUCCUGGGAAAAGAAUCCGGCUUUGCUUGCAGUGUAUGGUAUCCAGACGCAGCAGUACAGGUUAACAGAAUAUGGGUUGCUUCUCAUUAGUCAUUUCUUGAUUCAUUAUUCCAAUAUGUAGAAGACACCUGCAGCAAUUCCGAGUUUUGACGAAAGCCACAUGAAAGACAUGAAGAAACAUGGCCGUAGGCUAAUGUACACUGUAUGUAUCUUGUCUGCACAAAGUUUUGUAACCAUCCCGGCUUGAUAUCGUUUAACGAUUUUGUUGCAACAUAAUUCAUAAGCACUGAAUUUAUGCAAACAACAGUUCUG